ensembl:processed_transcript
CUUUAUCACUCCGUCUGAACUUGAUAACAGAAUUAUUCUUUUUUAAAUCGAGUUUUUUAACAACUAACUUCUAUAUAGGCUAAGUUGAAAUGGAUCUAAGAAACUAUGUUGAUGUGAGCUGAUCACUUUCCAUUGGGCCUACUUGAAACAGUAACACGGUAAAAUCACAAGUAACAUUUGGUCAAAACUUCAUACGUACCUUUUCUUCCACGGUAGUUGCAUUUGGGUUGAUCACGGAGAACAAAUUUGCGUUCCUGUCGUUAAAGGAGCCUUAUUUAGGCGGCAAUCCUUUUUAAGCGCCUUUUAUGUAGUUUUCCUGUAGAGGGCGCUUAGCUGUACAUAAUUUAAAGUCGAGUCUUAUGGGAAAGAUUAAAAACACUCAUAUUUUAUAAAAACGAGUCAUAUUACAUCUAGCUAUAUCAUGUACAAAUCAAAAUGGUCCAGCUAACAUUUAAAAAAAUAUUAAAUAAAGUUUUUUGAAUCAUCGGAAAUGACUAUGUGAUGACAGCCCUUAGAAAUG